CACAGACCUGGCCCGGCUGCGGCAGCACUGGCGGCUGAACGAACACCGCAUCAAUGGCUACAACCGGGACAAGCAGACUCCUCCGCAUCUUGCUUGCGUAAACGACCAUGCAGAUGUUCAGUUUCUAGCAGAAAAGAAGUGCAAGCUAAACCCUUGUGACAAAUUCAAUCAAUCACCACUAAUGAAGGCAGUAGAGCACAAGCAUGGGGACUGUGUAGCUAUUCUGCUGGAACACGGUGCCAACCAUGACCUCAGAGGUGCAAGCAGUAACACCGCCCUUCACUUUGCUGUCAUGGGUUCUAACAAAUCUCUAGUGGAGCUGUAACUUGAGCACGGUGCAGAUAUUGAUGCUGAGAAUGAAUUUGGAUAGACUCUGCUUAUUCUUGCAAUCGCUGAAAACCGUGAAGAAAUGGUCAUGUUCCUUCUUCAAAAAGGAGCUGAUGUGAAUGCUCAGGAUAAUGUUUCCAGUAUUGCUAAUGAACAAAUUGACACCUCCUGCUAUGAGAACACUCCUGUCACUCCCUUGGAAACACCUGCAUUGGCAGAGUCAUGUAAGAUACUUUGCUAUCAAAGAGGUGAGGAGGAACACCACUGUGGCCUGUGGCACAAUGACACCAAAUCAAUGGGAUGCUGGUCUGGAGGGAUGGGCCAAAGGACUGGAAAAUAAACACUUGAGGCAACAACACGCUUAUCUUAUUUCUUGGGUGAUGUGCCAAAAGAAGAAGCAGUGGAAAAGGAAGACAAUGGUCCUGCUGCAGUCCAACAUAAAGCAAGUGUGCUCUCUAUUGCAUUGCAGCCUUACAGAGGUAAUUUCAGAGGGACUAAAUGGUUACCUUUGUAAGCCUCCCUGGAGUGAAGCA